GAAAAGUUAGUUUAAUUAAUAUAAAACAUUAACUUGUCAAGUUAAAAAUAUACUUUAUUAUACUUUUCU
rnacentral:tRNA from 1 species